rnacentral:rRNA from 1 species
UGGGGAAUUUUGCACAAUGGGGGAAACCCUGAUGCAGCGACGCCGCGUGAUUUAGAAGGCCUUCGGGUUGUAAAAAUCUUUUUUAUGGGAUGAAAAUGACAGUACCAUAAGAAUAAGGUCCGGCUAAAUACGUGCCAGCAGCCGCGGUAAUACGUAUGGACCGAGCGUUGUCCGGAAUCAUUGGGCGUAAAGGGUACGUAGGCGGCCCAGUAAGUUAGAAGUGAAAUAAUAUAGCUCAACUAUAUAAAGCUUUUAAAACUGCUAGGCUUGAGAGAUGGAAGGGAAAGUGGAAUUCCUAGUGUAGCGGUGAAAUGCGCAGAUAUUAGGAAGAAUACCGGUGGCGAAGGCGACUGUCUGGUCAUCAUCUGACGCUGAGGUACGAAAGCGUGGGUAGCAAACAGG